GAUGAACGCUGGCGGCGUGCCUAAUACAUGCCAGUCGAGCGAACGGACGAGAAGCUUGCUUUUCUGAUGUUAGCGGCGGACGGGUGAGUAACACGUGGAUAACCUACCUAUAAGACUGGGAUAACUUCGGGAAACCGGAGCUAAUACCGGAUAAUAUUUUGAACCGCAUGGUUCAAAAGUGAAAGACGGUCUUGCUGUCACUUAUAGAUGGAUCCGCGCUGCAUUAGCUAGUUGGUAAGGUAACGGCUUACCAAGGCAACGAUGCAUAGCCGACCUGAGAGGGUGAUCGGCCACACUGGAACUGAGACACGGUCCAGACUCCUACGGGAGGCAGCAGUAGGGAAUCUUCCGCAAUGGGCGAAAGCCUGACGGAGCAACGCCGCGUGAGUGAUGAAGGUCUUCGGAUCGUAAAACUCUGUUAUUAGGGAAGAACAUAUGUGUAAGUAACUGUGCACAUCUUGACGGUACCUAAUCAGAAAGCCACGGCUAACUACGUC
rnacentral:rRNA from 1 species